rnacentral:rRNA from 1 species
GACAGAGGGUGCAAACGUUGUUCGGAAUUACUGGGCGUAAAGCGAGUGUAGGCGGUUCGGUAAGUCGGAUGUGAAAGCCCCGGGCUCAACCUGGGAAUGGCAAUGGAUACUGGCGAGCUAGAGUGUGUCAGAGGAUGGUGGAAUUCCCGGUGUAGCGGUGAAAUGCGUAGAGAUCGGGAGGAACAUCAGUGGCGAAGGCGGCCAUCUGGGACAACACUGACGCUGAGGCACGAAAGCGUGGGGAGCAAACAGG